AGGUAUAGAACACCACUUAAUGAUAGGACAGGUAGGUAUAGAACACCACUUAAUGAUAGGACAGGUAGGUAUAGAACACCACUUAAUGAUAGGACAGGUAGGUAUAGAACACCACUUAAUGAUAGGACAGGUAGGUAUAGAACACCACUUAAUGAUAGGACAGGUAGGUAUAGAACACCACUUAAUGAUAGGACAGGUAGGUAUAGAACACCACUUAAUGAUAGGACAGGUAGGUAUA